rnacentral:rRNA from 1 species
GAAUUGAAGAGUUUGAUCAUGGCUCAGAUUGAACGCUGGCGGCAGGCUUAACACAUGCAAGUCGAACGGUAGCAGGAAGAAGCUUGCU